rnacentral:rRNA from 1 species
UACGUAGGUGGCAAGCGUUGUCCGGAUUUACUGGGCGUAAAGAGCGCGCAGGCGGUCGUGCAAGUCGCGUGUGAAAGCCCCCGGCUCAACUGGGGAGGGUCACGCGAUACUGUUCGACUCGAAGGCAGGAGAGGGAAGCGGAAUUCCCGGUGUAGCGGUGAAAUGCGCAGAUAUCAGGAAGAACACCUAUGGCGAAGGCAGCUCUCUGGGACGGUACUGACGCUGAGACGCGAAAGCGUGGGGAGCGAACAGG